GAAUGUACCAAGUAUGCUGCUUGGCGUGUUAAGAAAGGGUUGCCUGAGUUACCGAAAACCAAGUGAUGCUGAAAGAUGCAUCUAUGUCGGAGACGGUCAGUCGGUAGAAGUAGAGGCAAUAGGGCACUUUAGAUUAUUAUUGAAAUCUGGUUAUUUUUUGGAUUUAAUAGAUACUUUUAUUGUACCGUCUUUCAGACGGAAUUUAAUUUCAGUUUCUGUUUUGGACAAAUCAGGUUAUUGUUGUUCAUUUGGAAACAAUAAAUUUACAUUAUCUAUUAAUUCAAAUGCUGUAGGAACCGGUUUACUUAAUGUU